UGCAAGUCGAGCGCGCCUUCGGGUGAGCGGCGGACGGGUUAGUAACGCGUGGGAACGUGCCCUUCUCUACGGAAUAGCCUCUGGAAGCGGAGAGUAAUACCGUAUACGCCCUUUGGGGGAAAGAUUUAUCGGAGAAGGAUCGGCCCGCGUUAGAUUAGGUAGUUGGUGGGGUAACGGCCUACCAAGCCUACGAUCUAUAGCUGGUCUUAGAGGAUGAUCAGCAACACUGGGACUGAGACACGGCCCAGACUCCUACGGGAGGCAGCAGUGGGGAAUCUUAGACAAUGGGGGCAACCCUGAUCUAGCCAUGCCGCGUGAGUGAUGAAGGCCUUAGGGUCGUAAAGCUCUUUCGCCUGUGAUGAUAAUGACAGUAGCAGGUAAAGAAACCCCGGCUAACUCCGUGCCAGCAGCCGCGGUAAUACGGAGGGGGUUAGCGUUGUUCGGAAUUACUGGGCGUAAAGCGCGCGUAGGCGGAUUAGAAAGUUGGGGGUGAAAUCCCGGGGCUCAACCCCGGAACUGCCUCCAAAACUGCUAGUCUAGAGUUCGAGAGAGGUGAGUGGAAUUCCGAGUGUAGAGGUGAAAUUCGUAGAUAUUCGGAGGAACACCAGUGGCGAAGGCGGCUCACUGGCUCGAUACUGACGCUGAGGUGCGAAAGUGUGGGGAGCAAACAGGAUUAGAUACCCUGGUAGUCCACACCGUAAACGAUGAAUGCCAGUCGUCGGAUAGUAUACUAUUCGGUGACACACCUAACGGAUUAAGCAUUCCGCCUGGGGAGUACGGUCGCAAGAUU
rnacentral:rRNA from 1 species